UUGAGAUCCGUCUUUUCACACUGAGGACGACUGAGGGACUCAAACACAACUAUUAAAAAAGGUUCAAACAUUCACUGAUGCUCCAGAAGGAAACACGACGCAUUAAGAUUCGGGGGGUGACUGGUUUUUACAGUCAUCUUUGAUCAUAUUUACCAAGGGUGCCAAUAAUUCUGACCAUCACUGUAUACAAUUCAAGCAAAAAAUAAUUGAUUUUUUUUUUUUUUGAUAGUUGAAAUAUGAUCUGCUUUGAAAGAUUCAUCCUGCAAUAUAAAUAUGCAUCUCAAUUAUCCAGAUACAGAACUCAGAAAAUUUACUGUCUGCAAGCAGGUUAGUUUAGUUUAGCUGCUUCAUGGUCACAUGACCAAUUUCAGGUUUGUCAGUUCUCAGGAUCACCACAUGAGGUCGCCACUUUACCCUACUGCAUUGAUCAGUAAUCUGUUAUUUAUGGAUGACUGCUUUGAAUUAUCUCAUUCACACACUCUGUUAGACUUCACUGAGAACUAAUUAGUAUGUGCUUUUUUGCUUUGAUUUAAAUAUGUUUCAUUGUGUGUUUUUCAGUAAGAAAAUCAAUAAUCACUCAUUUGUGAACCUUUGAUUAAUUAUAUCUGACCUGAAAACAGAGAAGAAUGUUAAAUAUUUCAAAAUCUAAAAUGUUUUCUAGGUUUAUCUCAGAUUGUGGACUCUUGGCCUGCACUGUAUAUCUGAUCACUCUAUAAUACUAAUAUUUGUCCAGUCAGAACUACAUGAUUUCUCUUAAAUAAUAUAUAUUUUGUGUUUCAGAUGUUCUCUGAAACUUCAAAAUGAGAAAAAUAAGACUUUAUUCCAGUAAUAUGACAAGAAAACUAAACGCAGUUAAAGAAAAAGAAAAGACAGAUGAAUCCAAACCUGCGCAGAAGAAAAAAACAAUGAAUAGAGGAAAAGAAAAUGUCUGUGGAUUCAGAAAACAUCAAAAUCUGCAGCAUAAAAACAGACAAAUAUCGACCAAAGUUCUCUGUUGAUCCAGACGGACCUGAACAGCGUCGCUCUAAUGAAGAGAAAUUCAGAGAUGAGAAAGCAGCAGUUUUUCUCUUCUAACCGGCAGGAUGUUCUUCAUCGCUUUCAGUCGAUGAUUCAGAAUGAGACUGGAACACAAAACUCUAAUAUUUUCCUGUGAAAACACUGUGUUUGUAAGUUCAUGACUGUCACUGCACUGAACUGUGUUAAACUGGGGCAGAACUGUCCUUCUGUUUCAGCUGCUGUUCAUGGCAGAGUUUUAUCAGUUGUGACUUCACUUUAUUCUGACAUCUUUAAACGUGUCAUUACUUUACUUCCGUUCAGAAGCUGUUUUUAUCCAAGUGUCUCGUUCAUGAUCUCUGUUUUUGAGCUGCAUGAAGCACAUGAUCAGCAGGGAUUCAUGUCUGUAUUAUUUGAUUCUGGUGAACUCUUAGUGAAGGUCAUGAAAGUGGAUUUACUACAUUACACCUGAAAGUGUUCUCAGAUCAAAUGUAGUCUUAAAUGUUUUUGCAAUGCUCAAUAAAUAUUUAAUUUAGCUAACAGA